AUGGAAGAACUGAUGAAGGAAGCACACGCCCUCUUCUGCGGCGGCUGGAGCAUAAAAGAGUCCCAGGUGUUCAUAAGCACGCUCCAGCAUCUGCUAACGGCGGCGACCAAGACCGACGACCCUGACGCGGCAAAGACGACGAGGUGCUGGGCGACUCCCCAGCGGUGGCUGCUCACGCUGGACACGCCCUCGCUGCGCGCCGCGCUGUGGAACCCCUCGACCAAGGAGAAGGUGGAGCUCCCAUCAAUGGAGAAGGGCCUGCCCCAGAACUGCAAGUGCUUGCUGUCGCGCGAGCCCGGCUCCCGCGCCGGCUGCGUGGUGCUGGUCGUCGACGACGACGAGCCGGAGAUCUGGUUCUGCCAUGUCGGAGGCGAGCAAUGGACCAGGCACGAGUACGAGAUCAUUGUCGAGAAACCACGGGGUUCACCCAAUUUUCGCUUGGUGAAAAAAACAGUCUUUCGAAGAAGCAGGAUACGGAGCAUCGCCGCCGUCGACGGUAAGUUCUACUUCGACGUGACCUCCUCGAAGCUCGGCGUCCUCGACUUCGUCCCGGGCCCGACGUUCACCAUGAUGGACACCAAGGGAGCGAGAGUCGCAUGGGAUUCCUGGGAGCUGGCGUUCCCUCAUCUGGUGGAGUCCCGCGGGAGGCUCUACCUGUUCGUCAUCGCCCAUAAUGCUCUGGCCAGCAUCGCCCUCUACAAGAUGGAUUUCUCGUCGCUUGCAUGGUCCAAGGUGGAUCGCGUCUACGACCAGGUGUUCUUCUUGGGCGGGUUGCAUUCCGCGGCGUCGUAUUCUGCAUGGGAGCUUGGUUUGACGCAGGGUAAUGUCUACUAUCUGGGGCCGUAUGAGCUGCUCAACGUGUUCUCUGCCGGAGACAAACGUCGACCGCGCUCCAACUGCAUACACGGGGCCGAUCUGCCGGCUCCGCUGCAGGGCACAUACGACGUGCUCGCCAGAGCUUGUGCUGGUUUCACUGUCGGCAUCGGCAGUGGCUAG
rnacentral:rRNA from 1 species